rnacentral:lncRNA from 10 species
UAGUGAGUGAGCUCUCACGAGAUCUGAUGGUUUUAUAAGGCACUUUUUCUCCUUUUGCUCAGCACUUCUUCUUGCUACUGCCAUGUGAAGGACGCGUUCGCUUCCCCUUCCACCAUAAUUUGCUGAAUCCUGAUAGUUAAAAAGUUCUCAAAAAAAUAUCUGUUGAAUGAAUGAGUAAAUGGAGCAAAAAAGCUAACUUCUGGGUGCCACAGAAAGAGAGUCCAUGUUAUUGUUGACAUCCUUGUAAAGAAUGCAAAGUUGUCUGAGCACUUCAGCAAUGGUUUCUGCAAGCAAUGUGCAAAUUUGGAGACAGCCUUCCCUGUUCUUCUGAGCAGGCCUGGGAUGACCUCUGCCUGUUUUCAACCAUUAUUGAUGCGCAAUUUAUGAGAGGAUGAUGUGGCAAAAUGAUUUGAAAAUUGGAAGUGAUUUACUGCACAACUUAAAUAUUUUGUCUUAUCAUUACAGCAACUCUAUAAGGCCACAGGACAGCCUCCCAACCCAGCUAAAGAAUCAAGGGCGGAAGGCCAAAAUCAUCUGAAAACAAAUAUGAUACUUCAAAAAUGUCUGAAAAGGACAGGUGUGCUUUUCAAGAAGGCUUUCCCUCAGUGGCUUUACCUUUUGUGUGCGGCCCGGAUGUAGCUGAUAAACCAAGGCUUUCUGACUUUGCAGCUUGAUAGAUAUAAUUUUCAUAGUAUAUGGAAAGAUAAUGCACCCAAUGUAUUGGACAGUUGUCCCUGUGUUAUCAAGCAGUGUGUUCUCUUAUUUCACUAACAAAUGUCCAGACAAACACACAUUGUGGCAAAUGCAAGGAAAUCACUAGCCUGUGUUUGAAACUUAAGCCUCCCCGUUCUUUAGAGUAUAGCAGUAUUCAGGCAAUAGGGAUGCAUGGUACGAGCAUUACCCUUUCUCUCUCUCCAGACUCCAGAACAUGACAAUAGCUGAUAUGUUUCAGUGCAUGAAUAAUUCUGAUUCCAGCUAGACAAUUGUUGUGAAGGAAUUGUCCUUAUAAUAUUUGUCUCAUAAAAAUAUGUAUAUUUUAUUAUAAAACAAGAAUGUUCAAAUGGACAUCCACAUUUUGGCCCCAAAUCCUCCCCUUUUGUGCAUCUUAUGCAAAGUACAUGUCAAUAAGUAUUUAUCAAAUGAAUGUUAAAAGCAUGAAAGAAUGUUUUAUGGGGAUUUUGAUGUCUUUCUAGUGAGAUACUGUUUUUCAUUUAAUCAUAACUCAUUUUUUUUGAGAUGAGAAAAUUUAGACUCAAAGUCAUGAUAAGCCACCAACAUCAUAAAGAGCAGACUCAGGAACUGAACUGUAUUCUCUGCCUGUCCCUUCAUGCAAUUUCUUUCUCCUUUCUACAGAAAAAUCCCCCCUUCCUGCUAUUUCCACCCCUGAAAUAUUUAUAGGCUGAUGUCCUCUUUAGUCAUCACUGAGCUAAGCUGCAAUCUUUUAAUCAUUUCUCAGAAGUCAUUUUCUCUAUCGGCUUAAUCAUUUCAUUUACUUCUGACUCCACCCAAAGUGCUUACGUCCCUUAAACAUGAGGUUCCAGAACUGAAACAUAGUCCUUCAAGGAACCAGAGAGAAGCCAGGCAACAUCAAUCAAGCCCCUUGAUGAUGGAACGUGUCCUCACAUGUGACUCAAUAGACGUUUUGCUGUGGGACUCUAAUUCUGUCUUGCCUUAUAGGCAAGAUGCAAUCUUUAUCAGAGCUCCAGGGGUAAUGCUGUGUCACACAAAAAUGUGCACUGCUUUUGAUAUCAGGCACACCUGGGUUCAAAUCUUGGCUUCCCGAUUUACUACUUACGUAACCUAAGGCAAGUUAUUAAGCGUCUCUAAAUCUUGGUUUCUUUGUCAGAGACAAGUUGGGAGGAAUACUAGCUACAUCAUAGGAGUCUUGUGAGAACUAAAUCACUUAAUAUAUGUAAAUGGCCUGUAUAUACUAUACCUAGCACACAUUACAUACAGCACAUUUACUAACCUCUAAAUCUAGUGUUAAAUCAAUUUCUUUCUCUCUCACCGCACUCCAUUCAAUUUACCAGGAAUUCUGUCCACCUUUCUUUCAGUUUUUCUGAACGUAUCCAUUUCUUCCCAUUGAUAUGAGUCACAAAUAGAUCAGCUGCCACCUGAUCAGACCCACCAUCAUUUCUAACCAGACCAUUGCCAUAGCCUCCUGACUCAUUCCCCUGCUUUCAUCCUUGCCUUUUAUAAUCCUUUCUCUACACUGUAGCGAUGUCAUCUUUCUAAAAGAUUACUUGGACCAGUCCACUUGCCUGCAUAAAACAUGGCAUAGGGUUCCCACUACACUUAAAAACAAAUCCAAAAUUCUUGCCAUGGACUACAGGACCUCAAGUGAUCUUUCCCUGCUUGUAUCUCUGAAGUUAUCCUUCUCCCCUCUUCUAUCACUUACUCUACUUUUAGCCAUAUAUGGCUUUUGGUUUCUUGAGCUCACUAAGCUUAUUCUGGUGCCAGAAACUUUGCCCUUUCCAUUCCCUGAGACUUAGAUGUUCUUCCCCAAGAUCUUUACAUGAUUGGUUCCUUCUCACCAUUUCAGUCUAAGACCAGAGGUCACCUCCUCCAAGAGGUCUCCCUUGGUCACCAAAUCUCACGUUGUCUCUCCCUGAUAACCUAACACUGACACUUUCUAGCACAUUACUUUGUCUUACUUUCUUUAUAUCACUUUAUCACUAUCUGAAAUUACCAUCUUUAUUUAUUUGUUUGUUUAUUUCCAGAAUGUUUUUCUCUCUCAACAGAAUGCCAGCCCUAUGAAAGAAGGAACCUUGUCUACUUUGCAUCUCUCAAUAUUGUUACCUCCUAAAAUUGUGCCUGGCAUGAAGUAGACACUCAAUAAAUAUUUGACAAAUGGAUAAAUUGGUUUGGAAGAACUGGGCUCUAUCAUACUUUUCAUAAGUAUGAAAAGCAUUUGACAAGAUAAUGAAAUCUUAAGGUAUUCUCACAUAAAUUUAAUAUCUCAGCCCUAAAUUUUGCAUAGCCAGGAAAUUCUGUAGCAUUAUAAAAUGGUUCAGAACACAGAGCAUGUUUUAAUCCUAGCUUUGCCACUUCCUUUCUGUGUGACCUUGGAUAAGUCAGCUGACGUAUUAAAACUGGUUUUCUUGUCUAAAAAUAUAAAGAUAAUAACAUACAAUAUUAGAGGGUUUUGUGAGGAUUAAAAGAGCUAAGUCUAUAGCACAGUUCCUGGAACAUUGUGUGCAGUCAAUAAAUGGUGGUUAUUAUUAUUACGGUUAUUGUUCUUACAGUAAUUAAUUCUGGCACCAUAUUUUACAAAGAACUUUGACAAAUUGGAGCCCAUCCAGAGGAGAACAAACAAUCUUGUGAAGGGUCUGGAAACCACAACUUGUAAGGAAUGAUGGAAAGAGCUGAGGAUGUUUACCUUGGAAGAGACACAUUUUAAGAGGAACAUGAUAGCUUUUUUAAAAACACUGAAAAGAACUGUCUGGUGGAAGACAGAUUUGAUUUAUUCAAUGUUACUCUGGAGUAUACAUUUAAAGCCAAAGAGUAAAAGUUAAAUCUUAAAUUCUUUAUGAUCUAAUAACCAAACUUUCCCAAACCAAAAUAGUAUUGAAUUCUACUUAUAAUAGUAAAAACUUUUAAGUCAUGUUUGCAUAAAUUUUUAUUAGGGAAAUUAUAUCGUAUAUGAAGCCACUUGCAAUUACCACUGUAUUCGUCCAUUUUCACACUGCUAAUACAGACAUACCCAAGCCUGGGCAAUUUACAAAGGAAAGAGGUUUAAUGGAGAACUCACAGUUCCACGUGGCUGAGAAAGCCUCACAAUCAUGGCAGAAGGUGAAAGGCAUGUCUCACAUGAUGGCAAGCAAGAGAAGAAGGCUUCUGCAGAAAAACUCCCCUUUUUAAAACCAUCAGAUCUCAUGAGACUUAUUCACUAUCACAAGAAUAGCACAGGAAAGACCUGCUCCCAGGAUUCAAUUACCCCCUACUGGGUUCCUCCCACAAGAUGAGAUUUGGGGUGGGGACAAAGCCAAACCAUAUCAACCAUAUUAAGACUUUGUAUCAAUAUGAAAAGUAUGUGUGGGAUGUCAAUUGCAAAAAAGCAGACUAUGAAAUAUGUGCAUAAGCAGACUAUGAAAUAUAGGCACUCUAUAGAGAGAAACAGAAACAAAGAGAGAGAGAAUAUAAACACAAACACAUGCAAAUAAAAUGUGUUACUUCAAGAGGUGAUGAGUUUCCUGUCCCUCCAAAGGUUAAAGCAGAGACCAGACAACCUCUUAGAAGAAACAGCAUGUGAGAAGUGAUAUUACAGACAAAGCAUUGGGCAGGGUGAACACUGAAACGAUUUCAAAGCUCCUUGGGUCUAUGAUCUGAUGAAUAUUGUUGAAUUGUGGGCACAAAACUGUGCUUUUUAAAAUAGUAAAGAUGACAUUAAGCCUCUCAAAUAUUUUCAUUUCCUCCCAAUUAAAACAGGCAAAAAAAAUCUAGUACCAAGAGACCCAAGUUCUGGGCUCCAUGAUCUACUAGGGCAUUGUGGCAUCAAGACCCACAAAGUGGACAUUUCUGGCCAUUAUUUCUCUUCUGCUCCAGCAAAAGCCUGUCAACCUCUCUGAACCUCAUUUUCUGGAUCCUUUCCCAAAAAGAAGGAAGUUGCAUGCUUUCUAUUUCUAAGAAUCUAUGCUUCAUCUUGAUUAUUUUCUUUCAUAAAUCUGAGCUUGGCCAGAAAUUAGAAGCCACCUGAACUUUGUAAAUAAGGAAUUUCCAAGAACACUAACAAGGGAAUAACUGUAGGAGAAUUUUGGUCCCCAAAUCAGGGAUGGUCCUUUUUCCACAUAAGUUUCAAAAAGUAAUAAAUAAUUCCUAUUAUAAUUAAAUGGGUGAAAAGUUUAGAACUCUAAGAGACAAGCAUCCAAAAGUAGGGUUUUCCUAGAAAGUCUCUUUAUAUUUUAUGUAAGAUGACAUUAAGUCAUCACCUGCAUUGCUUUCUUGGCUUUUGAUGAUAAAGGAGCUCUCCUCUGUUGUUGUUAAACUUCCAGGCAAGUUUUCGGGCUAUCUUCAUCCUAGAAGGGCCAAUAGACAGAAGAUUGCCAUUUUCAAGCAUUGAACACACAAUUGGAUCCUUCCUUGACGUCAACUUACCUCCCAUUUUAUAUCUCGGAUGAUUUCCAGUGGUGACAAAAACAUGUAUAUUUCCUUUCCCACUUAGGGAACUAUGAGGUGUGCUUUGACUAGCCAAUAGAGAUAUUACAAAAUAGCAAACCCAUAAAACUUCUAGAGACUUCACGAAUCCUGUAAGAACAGCCUCAUUCUCUUCGAAUCCUUGGUUAUAAUUCACAUAGAUUAUCUUGUGGGAAUAGAACAAAGUAAGCCUUGCUGUGCCAUGCUCUUCUUGUGAAGAGUUCUCUGACUCCUAUAUUUCAGAUGAAGGAAUCAUUGUAACAUGACAAUGGUCAGGGAGUGCCCUGCUCCCAUGCCCAGAAUUGACCUACCAUCCUCAAACCAAUAAGCUCAAGCCCAGAUGAUUACCACCUACAUGGAAGGAUAAAGUGCCUCCCUUCAGCAGAUUGAGUAGGCGGUGAGUCCUAUUCUGGAGAAAAAAGUAAAUAUAAAGGCUGGGACUAUCAAUCAGAGAAAGACCUCUCCUCGAGAAGACUGGUCCAGGCAACAUUUUAAGAAUGACAUUCUGGAAACGAUUUAAAAGACAACAAUAAAGAUAAAGAAGGUUCUGGAAAGAUGGUCAUAUGAGAAGACAUGGAAUUGUUAGCCAAAAGAGAAGGCACAAAGGUGGUAUAGGUGCUGCCCUUGAGCAAUUGAAUGCUUGUCACACAGGAAAGAGAAUCCUUAUUCUAUGCUAUCCAAAGAGAAGGACUAAGGUCAAAAGGGAGGACUUAAAGGGAGAUAGGAUGCCCCAAUGUAAGCAUGAGCAGGAAGUUGAGCUAUUCAGCAGAAUUCACUAUUUAAGAAGUGAUACACUCCAGCCACUAAUUAUGUUCAAACCGGUUGCAAAAAAUUUUAAAUUAUAGUUAAAAUGCAAGUCCAGGCCAGGCGUGGUGGCACACAACUGUCAUCCCAACACUUUGGGAGGCCAAGGUGGGUGGAUCACCUGAGGUCAGGAUUUCAAGACCAGCCUGGCCAAAAUGGUGAAACCAUGUCGCUACCAAAAAUACAAAAACAUUAUCCAGGUGUAGUGGCAUACACCUGUAGUCACAGCUACUCAGGAGGCUGAGGCAGGAGAAUCACUUGAACCCAGGAGGCAGAGGUUGCAGUGAGCCAAGAUCAUGCCAUUGCACUGCAGCCUGGGUGACAAGAGCGAAGCUCCAUCUUAAAAAAAAAAAAAAAGAAAAAGAAAAAAUGCAAGCCCACACAUUUCUACGGUACUUAAUGAAAAGUUGUCACAGGACCUUAAGAACGCAAAAGCUUGGUUUAGCCAUUACUUUUUGUUUUUGUUUUUUUAAAAGGAAGGUGUUUUGUGAAUAUUUAUAUGUUAUUUAUAAAAUGUAAGUUAUAGCUAUAUCUAUGCUAUAUCUUGUCAUUAAAAUUUGGGUAUUUAUCUAAAUAUAUUUCCUAAAAAGGGCAAAGAGCUUUCUCAAGAAUUUUUUGAUGUAACAGUUCUAAAGACUACCGAUGUGUAACUUUGAGAUGACGAAUGUCUAUUAUAAGACGUUAUAUUUGUUGGAAUUAGUUGAAAAUUCUGAGUGUUCUAGAACAGAGGCCUCAGAAAUAACACCACACAUCUACAACCAUCUG